UACGUAGGGGGCAAGCGUUGUCCGGAAUCAUUGGGCGUAAAGCGCGUGUAGGCGGCUCGGUAAGUCCGCUCUGAAAGUCCAGGGCUCAACCCUGGGAUGCGGGUGGAUACUGCCGAGCUCGAGUCCGGAAGAGGCGAGUGGAAUUCCUGGUGUAGCGGUGAAAUGCGCGGAUAUCAGGAAGAACACCCGUGGCGAAGGCGGCUCUCUGGGACGGUACUGACGCUGAGACGCGAAAGCGUGGGGAGCGAACAGG
rnacentral:rRNA from 1 species